UAUGGCGACCGGCGCACGGGUGAGUAACACGUAUCCAACCUGCCGAUGACUCGGGGAUAGCCUUUCGAAAGAAAGAUUAAUACCCGAUGGCAUAGCUCUUCCGCAUGGUGGAACUAUUAAAGAAUUUCGGUCAUCGAUGGGGAUGCGUUCCAUUAGGUUGUUGGCGGGGUAACGGGCCCACCAAGCCUUCGAUGGAUAGGGGUUCUGAGAGGAGGGUCCCCCACAUUGGAACUGAGACACGGUCCAAACUCCUACGGGAGGCAGCAUG
rnacentral:rRNA from 1 species